CACGUAGGGUGCAAGCGUUGUCCGGAAUCAUUGGGCGUAAAGAGCUCGUAGGCGGCUUAGUAAGUCGGGUGUGAAAACCCCAGGCUCAACCUGGGACGCCACCCGAUACUGCUAUAGCUAGAGUCCAGUAGGGGAGUGUGGAAGUUCCCAGUGUAGCGGUGAAAUGACGCAGAUAUUGGGAGGAACACCAGCGGCGAAGGCGGCACUCUGGGCUGGUACUGACGCUGAGGAGCGAAAGCGUGGGGAGCGAACGAGG
rnacentral:rRNA from 1 species